rnacentral:rRNA from 1 species
AAGAUUUGACAAGGGCGGCAACCCUGAUCCAGCCAGCCCGCGUGUGUGAGGAAGGNCUNNGGACUNUNAAGAACCUUAUGUUGNNNNNAAGGGCUUUAGAUUGAUACCCUGUAAGUUUGACGUUACCAACAGAAAAAGUACCGGCUAACUCUUUGCAAGAAGCCGCGGUAAUACAGAGGGUGCAAGCGUUAAUCGGAAUUACUGGGCGUAAAGCGCGCGUAGGUGGUUUAUUAAGUCGGGUGUGAAAUCCCCGGGCUUAACCUGGGAACUGCAUUCAUAACUGGUGAGCUAGAGUACGGUAGAGGGUAGUGGAAUUUCCUGUGUAGCGGUGAAAUGCGUAGAUAUAGGGAGGAACACCAGUGGCGAAGGCGGCUACCUGGACUGAUACUGACACUGAGGUGCGAAAGCGUGGGGAGCAAAC